GAUGAAGAACGUAGCGAAAUGCGAUAAGUAAUGUGAAUUGCAGAAUUCAGUGAAUUAUCGAAUCUUUGAACGCACAUUGCGCCCUCUGGUAUUCCGGGGGGCAUGCCUGUUCGAGCGUCAUUAUAACCACUCAAGCUCUCGCUUGGUAUUGGAGUUCGCGAUCUCGCGGCUCCUAAAAUCAGUGGCGGUGCCUGUCGGCUCUACGCGUAGUAAUACUCCUCGCGAUUGAGUCCGGUAGGUUUACUUGCCAGCAACCCCCAAUUUUUACAGGUUGACCUCGGAUCAGGUAGGGAUACCCGCUGAACUUAAGCAUAUCAAUAAGCGGAGGA
rnacentral:misc_RNA from 1 species